UGCAGUCGACGAACUCUGGUAUUGAUUGGUGCUUGCAUCAUGAUUUACAUUUGAGUGAGUGGCGAACUGGUGAGUAACACGUGGGAAACCUGCCCAGAAGCGGGGGAUAACACCUGGAAACAGAUGCUAAUACCGCAUAACAACUUGGACCGCAUGGUCCGAGCUUGAAAGAUGGCUUCGGCUAUCACUUUUGGAUGGUCCCGCGGCGUAUUAGCUAGAUGGUGGGGUAACGGCUCACCAUGGCAAUGAUACGUAGCCGACCUGAGAGGGUAAUCGGCCACAUUGGGACUGAGACACGGCCCAAACUCCUACGGGAGGCAGCAGUAGGGAAUCUUCCACAAUGGACGAAAGUCUGAUGGAGCAACGCCGCGUGAGUGAAGAAGGGUUUCGGCUCGUAAAACUCUGUUGUUAAAGAAGAACAUAUCUGAGAGUAACUGUUCAGGUAUUGACGGUAUUUAACCAGAAAGCCACGGCUAACUACGUGCCAGCAGCCGCGGUAAUACGUAGGUGGCAAGCGUUGUCCGGAUUUAUUGGGCGUAAAGCGAGCGCAGGCGGUUUUUUAAGUCUGAUGUGAAAGCCUUCGGCUCAACCGAAGAAGUGCAUCGGAAACUGGGAAACUUGAGUGCAGAAGAGGACAGUGGAACUCCAUGUGUAGCGGUGAAAUGCGUAGAUAUAUGGAAGAACACCAGUGGCGAAGGCGGCUGUCUGGUCUGUAACUGACGCUGAGGCUCGAAAGUAUGGGUAGCAAACAGGAUUAGAUACCCUGGUAGUCCAUACCGUAAACGAUGAAUGCUAAGUGUUGGAGGGUUUCCGCCCUUCAGUGCUGCAGCUAACGCAUUAAGCAUUCCGCCUGGGGAGUACGGCCGCAAGGCUGAAACUCAAAGGAAUUGACGGGGGCCCGCACAAGCGGUGGAGCAUGUGGUUUAAUUCGAAGCUACGCGAAGAACCUUACCAGGUCUUGACAUACUAUGCAAAUCUAAGAGAUUAGACGUUCCCUUCGGGGACAUGGAUACAGGUGGUGCAUGGUUGUCGUCAGCUCGUGUCGUGAGAUGUUGGGUUAAGUCCCGCAACGAGCGCAACCCUUAUUAUCAGUUGCCAGCAUUAAGUUGGGCACUCUGGUGAGACUGCCGGUGACAAACCGGAGGAAGGUGGGGAUGACGUCAAAUCAUCAUGCCCCUUAUGACCUGGGCUACACACGUGCUACAAUGGAUGGUACAACGAGUUGCGAACUCGCGAGAGUAAGCUAAUCUCUUAAAGCCAUUCUCAGUUCGGAUUGUAGGCUGCAACUCGCCUACAUGAAGUCGGAAUCGCUAGUAAUCGCGGAUCAGCAUGCCGCGGUGAAUACGUUCCCGGGCCUUGUACACACCGCCCGUCACACCAUGAGAGUUUGUAACACCCAAAGUCGGUGGGGUAA
rnacentral:rRNA from 2 species